AAAAAUAAAAAUUAAAAAAAUAAACUACUUCUCAAUCUAAGAAAAAAAGAAAAGAACACUAAUGAAUGCUUUAGCUCAUCUUUAAGAUGAAUUUGUCAAUAAAAUAUACUUUCAGGUUCAAAUAUGCAAUUAUAUAUGGCAAAUCAAUUAGUACAAAUAGAGGGAUUUAGAAAAUAGACUUUUGUGAUAAUAGGAAAAUUUAAUUGCCUAGUAAAAAUAACUCAUCUUUGUGGAUGAGAAUUUUGGUCAACACUCUUUUUAAAAAAUCAUAUAUAAGGAUUUAAAACUAUUUCUCAGGAGAGCUAUUAUGGAAGCUUUAAAAGGAAUCUCCUUAUUCUCAUAUAUAUUUCCUGAUCUGUUUUUCUUUCUGCUGUUAAAAUUAAGUGGAUGCUGUAUUGAAACUUAUCCUCAAUAAUUCUUAUUCUCCCCAGAAUUAUUCAUGCCAUAGUCUAUUUUUCUCCAUUUAUUAUACUAAUUUGCUUUUAAUUUGACAGUUUUCCUCAUGUUUCAAUGCAUUGUUUUGACAGAGAGUUACUCAUCAAGAUUUUACUUGAAAAAGAAAAUGAUAAUUCAUGUUCACAUUCUAAACUUCUCUUUAGUCUUUCUUUUUAUCCUAUAGUUCUGUGAGAAUUUCAGUGCCAGAGACUAUAACUGACAAGAAAAUGAAUUAAACUUUAUAAAUUGAUCUAGCUAAAGAGGGCUCAUUGGAUACUAAAAAUUAAACUGAAAACAAUUUUUUUUAAAAAAUAGAGAAAUGUUAAAAACACCCCACAACAGAUGGGCAAUAUGAUUUAUUAAAAAAAAAACCCAAUAUUUUUAUGCUUAACCAGCAGCAAGCUAACUUAUCAUUUACUCUUGUGUUUUCUCAUGGCAUCUAUAACCUGCAUAGGCUUGCAAGUAAUAUUAGUUUGCUUUAAUCUGCACUCUGCCUCCUCCCUUAUUUGCAUACCCUCCUUAAUAAAUGAGUUUUAUUGUUUUCACUCCUUCUCUUUCCUAUAUUUUGUCUGUCUCUUCUAUUGUUUUUUGGUUUCAAUUAACUAUUUAAACAUUUUUUAUUAUAGUUUAUUUACAAUGUCCUUUCAAUUUCUGCUAUACAGCAAAGUGACUCAGUUAUAAAUAUAUAUCUAUAUAUAUAUUCUUUUUCCACAUUAUCCUCCAUCAUGUUCCACACAAGGAAUUACAUGCAGUCACUUGUGAUGGAACAUGAUGGAAGAUAAGAAAAAGAAUGCAUGUAUAUAUGUAUAACUGGGUCACUUGGAUAUAGAGCAGACAUUGACAUAACAUUGUAAAUCAACUAUGAUAACAUUUAAAAAAAAAUUAAAAAAAGAUAGUGGAGGACAGACCUAGCCAGGAAAUUUCUGCCCCAUUCUGAGUCCCCUAUCUUCUUCUUAAGUAGAGCAACUGAGGAUGGAAUCUGAGGUAGAAUGGAACUCCACAGAGGAGCUCACAGAAUAGAACCAAAUAGCCUCUUCUCCCUUACUCAAGAUUGUGAAGGAAAAUGAUUGAAAGCACUAUAAUUUUUGAGUGGGAGGUUAUGAAUGCAAUAGAAAAUACAGUUGACCCUUGAGCAACACAGGGAUUGGGGGUGUUGAACCUCUGAGCAAUUGAAAAUAGGAGUGUUAACUUUAUAGUUGGCCUCUCCUAUGCCAGGUUUUGCAUGCUUGGAUUCAAGCAAACCUAGAUCACGUAAUACCAGAGUAUUUAUUAUUGAGAAAAAAAUCAGCAAUAAGUGGACUUAUGCAGUUCAAACUUGUGUUGUUCAAAGGCCAGUUGUAUUGCUUCUAACUCCAAGUUUAAUUUAUGAUCUUUGUGUUUAUAGUGAUGAUUUAUUUAAUUUUGGAAUGCUUUUGGAUCAUAAUAAUCAUGCUAAAACCCGUAUUAUUAUGAUAGAGACAUGUAAUAUUCCUUUGUGUGAAUUAUAAAAAACUUAUUCCAGUACAUAUCAUUUUAUUUAAAAUUCUUAUGAAAUGGUUAGUACAAGUUCUACAGAAUUUGGAUGGGAUUUUAACAUGACCGUAUUUUGAAAAAUUAUUCUUAAAUGAGGCAAUUAUCCUAUUAAGUGCAUAGCUGCUAUAUUACCACUUCUUUGAAGCACUGUUCUGGACAAUGAAUGGUGAAAAUUAUUCUCAUUCAUAAAGAUCAAUUUAAAUUUAAUGGUAUGACCAUCCCUUUUACUUUAAAGAAAACCACUACUUAUUGGAAACAUUUAGACAAAAAAAAUUACUUCACACAAAGAAGUUAAACACUAUUUAAUGUUUUAUUACAAUACUGGGAACAUUAAAUAAGGAAUAAUAGAAAUAAAACAGGGGGGAAGGUCUGUUAGCAGUCUGGACUUUGUUCAUGCAAAAGACUGUCUGAAAUUUAUGCUCAAGUUACUAAGUACCAAAGUAUAUGACACCUGAAUGUGAGAGUGUCUCAUUUAAUUCUUAAAAAAAAAAAAAUCUGCUUUAAAAAAAUUAGUUGGGCAAAUACCUAAUAAAUAUUUUCUUCCUGAAAAUAUAGAACUUUUGUUUGUUUGCCCAGAAGUCCUGUCUUUUCAGCUAGAAACUGUGCCUUCCCUCACUUCAUUGCCUUAGAGAUGCUAUUUUACUGCAACAGUUGAUUCAUUCAUACUGCAAAUGUUAUAGCACCCCCUAGUCUUGGCCUCAGACCAACUGGUCUAGUUAUGGUUACAUGGUCAGAAUUUGCCAGGGUGUUCCUUCUCUAGCAUUUUCUGGUUACUAUGUGCAUUUAUUGUGGUUAAAGUUUUAAUGUGUAAAAAGAUCAACAGUUGCAAAAGACACGUGCUUUAUCAGCUAGAAGAGUAAAGGUGGAUUCUUUGGUGGAGGGUCGUGUGGAGAGGGAGAGUAGAAAGAAUGGGAGAGAGAGAAAGGGAAUUCGAGCAGAAGAAUGAUGGGGAGGGUAAGAAGGCACAGAGGGAGGGAGAGAGGGAGAGAGAGAGCGCAAAUGAGCUAUUAAAUUGGUCCAGAAAGUCGGCUUAGAAGAGAGAUGGAUAGUCCCAAUGUCAUUUGAAUUAUUUUGAAUCAUUUGAAUUCUUGGUUCUCUGCUUUGCCUGUAGCUUGGUGGUUCUGCAAGAUACUCCAAUGUUUUACCAAUUAAAAACCCCUUUAAAAUUUGCUCUUACUGAAUAUUUGGCAUUGCCACCAAACUAUUCUUGAUAACUACAAAUUAUAUCUUAUUUUACAGGUCUCAUUUAGAGAGGUGUCAAUUUGAAGACAGGCAAACUUGUAAAUAUGAUCUAUGUCCAAAUGCAAAAAUCCUGAUAAAGAUAUUUAAAAUCAGUAUGGUUAACUUUUAGAGACAGCAGAUAGUCAAAGUCAAACUGUUGACUCUAUUAAGGGAUACUUAGAAACCUUUUUGACUUUGAGGCUUAGGCUUACUUUAGUGAGUUAGACAGGCCAUUGAUCAAAUAAGUUUAUCUAUGUGGUUUGAUUACUCAGUUUACCUCACGCAGACCUAAGUAUCACAGUGAUUUUGAAUGUCUUAAUAGAAUCGCCAAGUUGUCAAAUGAAUUUUGCUCAUUUCCCUACAUAAAUCCAGUUCAUUACUGUCUGUAAAACAAGCUUUUAUAAUCCACCUCCAAACCUCCUGUCAUUUAAAUCCUUCACUGUAAAAGCAGUGUUCUCAGUUCAGUACUGACAUGAAGACAUAGUCCCUGACAUAUUGCAACUAUUUUUUUUCUAAUUAAGGAGGCGAAUAACAUGGGUCUCGUAAUGCUGAAUGACAUACCGAAGAUACAGAUACUCUCUCUGAGGAUUUAAGGAUGCGUAGAAAGCCAGAGAUCUGGGUCUGCCUUCUUGGAGAUCCUCACUAUUGUCUUGGCUAGAGACACCAUUCAGAAAAUAAGGAAAUAUAACCUCUUGGGUAGUCCAGCGACCUCUGUUUAUAAUUCUACAGUUCAAGGCUGCUCGUUGUUGUUCUUAUUCUUGUUCUUCUUCUCCUCCCCACCCCUCCUUCUCUUCCUCCUCCUCCUUCUUAUUUUCAGAAUGAUGGCUGUGCAGAAUAUAGCCUGUGGCGUGUGAAUUGUGCCAGAGCUCUGCCUCUUGCAAGCAGGCUGAGGACCAUGUACGUUGGGCAGAUUGCCGGUCUUUCAAAGGGACCCUCCUUUAGCAGGUGGAACAGAAUGACAAGAGUCACUCUGGCCCCUUGUAAUAGUUUCCCAGUUUCCUUGACUUAUUUUUUCAUCAAGCGCUAUACCCAUAAGUCUCUCACUGCCCCUGAGCUCGGUCUUGCUGCAUUGUCGCUUUGCUUGCUUACACUUUCCUUCCUUCAGCCUGUGCUCAUGGCUUCCAGCUGAUGACAUGCUCAUUCUCCCCUUUUUCUGACAUGGGUUCCCACCCAGCUCUGGUGUCCCCACUCUUCUGAGCUUCAGAGCUUAAGUCUCUUAGGGAUGGUAAUUCAUGUGGCCCUUUGCUUUCUUGGAGAAAUUUAAAUUCAUUUUCAAGAAUUUAAAUUCAUUUUGUUUAAAUUCACUUACAUCUCUUUCAGAACUAUGUUGUUGAUGUACAGAUUAUAAGAAAUUAUUGGGAGUUCCCAUCAUGGCUCAGUGGUCAGCGAAUCCAAUUAGGAACCAUGAGGUUGCAGGUUCGAUCCCUGGCCUCGCUCAGUGGGUUAAGGAUCCAGCGUUGCCGUGAGCUAUGGCAUAGGUUGCAGACACGGCCACGGCUCAGAUCCCGCAUUGCUGUGGCUCUGACGUAGGCCGGCGGCUACAGCUCCAAUUCGACCCCUAGCCUGGGAACCUCCAAAUGCUGCAGGAGCGGCCCAAGAAAUGGAAAAAA
rnacentral:lncRNA from 1 species